CAUUCUCACUCUUCAACUCAACCUGUUCUUCAUUUCCUUUUCCUUCUUCUUUGGAUCAACUCUUUUCUUCUCUCUUCUUUUGUUUCAUCGCCGCUAUCUGUUGAUAUUAUUACGAAAUUGAAUGUUCUGUUAAUUGUUUCAAUCUGUUCUCCGGAUCCAGACAACCUGAUGAACCUUCAACAGUAAAUAUGGAUUCAAUGUUUGAAUCGAGAUAUGAAUCAGUCCAUUCAUCAAUAGAAGCCAUCAAAUGUGGUUUACUUCAAUCAACUCAGAAUUUAUUUUGAAUAUUUUUUCAUGAUGUUCAUUGGAAUGAACUGGAUCCACAGAUCAGGUAUUUGCUACUUCUGUAUUUACCAGUAUCUUCAUCCUCAUCUUCACCAACUCGUCCCACUAAUCAUCAUUAAGCUUCUUUCAACUUGAUUAUUACCAUUAUUACUGUUUACCCCUGGCUUCAAUUGUAACUCAGACCAGAUUAAAUUUACUUAUGAGAAGAUUGAAAUUUUUUUUUCUUCUCCGUUUUUCCUUCUUUCACUGUAUUUUUUUAUUCCAAUCAUUUGGCAGCAACAACAACCUCAUGGGAUCGAUCAAAAUGUUUCACGAAAUUCAUUACCUUAUUUCCUUGAAGCAGUUUAUUUAAUUAAACAUGGACAGUGUUAAUCAA